rnacentral:rRNA from 1 species
CGGUGUUUAACUGGCGUGAUGUGGGACGUCCUACCGGUGGGCUUAGCCUCGCGAGGGGCGGCCCAACUAAUAUCCCGUCGCGGUGCUCUUUACUGAGUGUCGAGUCGGGCCGGUACGUUUACUUUGAACAAAUUAGAGUGCUUAAAGCAGGCUAUCCUCGCCUGAAUACUGCGUGCAUGGAAUAAUGGAAUAGGACCUCGGUUCUAUUUUGUUGGUUUUCGGAACCCCGAGGUAAUGAUUAAUAGGGACAGAUGGGGGCAUUCGUAUUGCGACGUUAGAGGUGAAAUUCUUGGAUCGUCGCAAGACGGACAGAAGCGAAAGCAUUUGCCAAAAAUGUUUUCAUUAAUCAAGAACGAACGUUAGAGGUUCGAAGGCGAUCAGAUACCGCCCUAGUUCUAACCAUAAACGAUGCCAGCUAGCGAUCCGCCGAAGUUCCUCCGAUGACUCGGCGGGCAGCUUCCGGGAAACCAAAGCUUUUGGGUUCCGGGGGAAGUAUGGUUGCAAAGCUGAAACUUAAAGGAAUUGACGGAAGGGCACCACCAGGAGUGGAGCCUGCGGCUUAAUUUGACUCAACACGGGAAACCUCACCAGGCCCAGACACCGGAAGGAUUGACAGAUUGAUAGCUCUUUCUUGAUUCGGUGGGUGGUGGUGCAUGGCCGUUCUUAGUUGGUGGAGCGAUUUGUCUGGUUAAUUCCGAUAACGAACGAGACUCUAGCCUGCUAAAUAGGCGUACCUUAUGGUAUCGCGAAGGCCCCCGGCUUCGGCCGGUGGGUUUUUACUACCAACGUACAAACAAAUCUUCUUAGAGGGACAGGCGG